rnacentral:rRNA from 1 species
GAAUUUUAUAUACUAAUUUAUUGAAUGAAUAGAAGAUAGGUAAAUAGUUGAAUUAGAUAAAUUAGUAUAUUUAGUUGGGAGGAUUAUUAAAUUUUAUAAACUUUAAGUUUAGUUUAAAUAUUAAUUUAUAGAAUUUAUGAUGGGUUAUUUAAAUAAAUUAAGUUAGAAUUAAUUACCUUAGGGAUAACAGCGUAAUAAUUUUGGAAAGGUCAUAUUGAUAAAAUUGAUUGC